rfam:Oryctolagus cuniculus chromosome 12, whole genome shotgun sequence.
CCAAAGGCUCUUUUCAGAGCCAACUCCUUUUUCAGUAUAAGAGCUG